AUGUUUAAACCACUAAAAUAAAUUAAAUUUGUUGUUGUUUUAUUAGUCUAUGAAGGAUGAAUUUCCCUUGUUUAGUCACCGGACGUAUGUUAUGAUCAGCAGUAUCUCCCACUUUUUGAGUAAACGUUGUGUAUUUCAAAUCUUGAAGUUAAAAAGAUGGAAACGAAGAUUCUGCUAAUUGCUUUUGCUGUGUUAUUUGUUAUUGGAAGUUAUUCUGUUUCAGGAGAGUGUCAAGGCUUUAACAAACCAUGUCCUACGGGAAAAGGCUGUAUCCAUCCCAGAGAUUUUUGUGAUGGUGUACCCGAUUGCAAGGAUGAAUCUGAUGAGUCUUAUGAAGAAUGCAGUCAGAAAAAAUAUGGUAACAAAGCAAAGUGUCUUUGGGAAGGAGAAGUUAGGUGCCGUGGUCAUAUCGGAUGCGUUCCUAAAGAAGAUUGUUUGUAACUACAACAACAACAACAAUACUUUAUUUUAAUAAAAAGAUGAAGCUUUAGCAGAUUAAUAAUAAAAAAAGAAAAGUCUUACAGUCAAACUUUAUUAAAUUAGUCUUUAUAACUAUACCCUUUACUAAAAUCAAUAUGAAAUAAAAUCUGUUUUCUGCUA